UGAACAUUUCGACACUGCCAUAUGCUAUGACAGCGACAGUUUACAGUGGUAUUUAACUUCACCGAAGGUCAAAAACUAAACUUUUGCAUAAAAAAGGUCAUGGCAGGAUAAUUUUUUAUCCGACCCCAGGGAAUCGUUUUCGAUGGAGGACACCCGAAGCGUUUGAUGAUAAAUCCAGGGAUAGAAGACGAAAACACCAGAUAUCCAAAGGGCACAUAAAGUCGUAAAUAGAUGUUUGGGACGAGAGAAGGGUACGAAAAAGGUCACAUGUUAUUUGACAUUUUCAUCCAUACAAGUUGAGUUAUUAUUAUUAUUUUUUUUUUUUU